rnacentral:rRNA from 1 species
UUUGAUUAUGGCUCAGAUUGAACGCGGCGGGGUCUUUACACAUGCAAGUCGAACGGCGGCUGGACUUCGGUCUGGUGGCGAGUGGCGAACGGGUGGUAAUGUAUCGGAACGUGCCUAGUAGCGGGGGAUAACUACGCGAAGGCGUAGCUAAUACCACAUACCCUUCGGGGAAAGCGGGGGACGGGCCUCGCGCCUGUUAGAAGCGUGAUAUCGGAUUGGCUGGUUGGUGGGGUAACGGCUCACCAAGGCGACGAUCCGUAGCUGGUUUGAGAGGACAGCGACCAGCCACACUGGGACUGAGACACGGCCCAGACUCCUACGGGAGGCAGCAGUGGGAAUUUUGGACCAAUGGAAACCCUGAUCCAGCCAUCCCGCGUGUGCGAUGAAGGCCUUCAGUUUGUAAGCACUUUUGGCAGGAAAAGAAACGGCACGGGGAUAAUACCCCGUGCAACUGACGAAGACACCUGCAGAAUAAGCACCGGCUAACUACGUGCCAGCAGCCGCGGUAAUACGUAAGUGCAAAGCGUUAAUCGAAUUACUGGACGUAAAGCGUGCGCAGGCGGUUCGGAAAGAAGAUGUAUCAGAGCAACUUUGGAACUGCAUUUUUAACUACCGAGCUAAGAGUGUGUCAGAGGGAGGUGGAAUUCCGCGUGUGAUGAAAUGCGUAGAUAUGCGGAGGAACACCGAUGGCGAAGGCAGCCUCCUGGGGAUAACACUGACUCAUACCCAGCGUGGGAGCAAACGGGAUUAGAUACCCUGGUAGUCCACGCCCUAAACGAUGUCAACUAGCUGUUGGGGCCUUCGGGCCUUGGUAGCGCAGCUAACGCGUGAAGUUGACCGCCUGGGGAAGUACGGUCGCAAGAUUAAAACUCAAAGGAAUUGACGGGGACCCGCACAAGCGGUGGAUGAUGUGGAUUAAUUCGAUGCAACGCGAAAAACCUUACCUACCCUUGACAUGUCUGGAAUCCGAAGAGGGCCCGGGAGUGCUCGCAAGAGAACCGGAACACGAUUGCUGCAUGGCUGUCGUCAGCUCGUGUGUCGUGAGAUGUUGGGUUAAGUCCGCAACGAGCGCAACCCUUGUCAUUAGUUGCUACGAAAGGGCACUCUAAUGGGACUGCCGGUGACAAACCGGAGGAAGGUGGGGAUGACGUCGGGAAUCUCAUGACCACCUUGGGUAGGGCUUCACACGUCAUGCAAUGGUCGGAACAGAGGGUCGCCAACCCGCCGAGGAGCCAAUCCCAGAAACCCGAUCGUAGUCCGGAUCGCAGUCUGCAACUCGACUGCGUGGGGAAGUCGGAAUCGCUAGUAAUCGCGGAUCAGCAUGUCGCGGUGAAUACGUUCCCGGGUCUUGUACACACCGCCCAUCACACCAUGGGAGUGGGUUUUGCAGAAGUAGUUAGCCUAACCGUAAGGAGGGCGAUUACCACGGUAGGAUUCAUGACUGAGGUGAGUCGUAACAAGGUAA